rnacentral:rRNA from 1 species
UACGUAGGUGGCAAGCGUUGUCCGGAAUUAUUGGGCGUAAAGCGCGCGCAGGAGGUCCUUUAAGUCUGAUGUGAAAGCCCACGGCUCAACCGUGGAGGGUCAUUGGAAACUGGGGGACUUGAGUGCAGGAGAGAAGAGUGGAAUUCCACGUGUAGCGGUGAAAUGCGUAGAGAUGUGGAGGAACACCAGUGGCGAAGGCGACUCUUUGGCCUGUAACUGACGCUGAGGCGCGAAAGCGUGGGGAGCAAACAGG